AUACCCACUCUAGCCUUACCAAAUUUAUUGGUAGUUCGCUUGUUAGAUUAUAGUGACUCACUCCACAGUCAGCUUUUGUUAACACCGGGGCACGCUCAGAGCGCACAUAUUGCGAGCGAUAGUACCUUGCCAACAAUUCACUGACUUCCCAUUGGGAACAGCCGCCCCGCUUGGCAGUUAGUCGCUCCGAGCAUUGGUGGUGAGUUCAUUUCCAGAAUGAACACCAUUCAACAAUCCAGCAGUGAGCACACAUGCCCGACUCGAACGGCUCAUUGGGCACUUCACUGCUUCAGCUGCUCACUUAUUCAGUUGUUAAUGAGACAGAACGCGAAACGGUCGUUAUCCACGUACAACGGGCACAUGCGAGCAGUUCCAAGCUCAGUACAUCGUCAAAAGUGAUAGCGAAUAGAGUACGCAGUGGAGGGCCUUUGGCUUCGAAAUUCAAUAAAGCGGGUUGAUUACGAACGUGUUUAGUCCACGCUACCGGUUUCACUUUGCGGUUAAAAACGAUUUGUGAAAUCUAUAGGACAACACACUUGCACACAUACACAUGUAUGUAUGUACGUAUAACAUUACAUGCAUAUAUACUUAAUGAGUGAUAAAGAGCAAACCAAGAACAGCAUUUCAAUUGAACUAAGUGAAAAACAUUGUAUGCAUUUUAUCUAGUGCAGACACUUCUGUACCCACAAUCAUAUACAUAUUUAUCAACAAUAUUUGUAUUGUCGUCCUUGAAGUGAAGUGUUUGCCAUUGUGAGUACAGAUCACCUGAAGCAGCGAAUUGUCCGUGGAACAGUUUGUGCUUACUCUAGCAAAAACAAAAAAAAGCGAUCUUCCAUUUAUUUACAUACUUAUGUAUGUACAUACUAAGAAUGUACGCCUUCUGUCGCUUAUCAUACUAGGAGCGAACGCCCGUCCCGCCACACGCUGCACUUCAACACAACUUUACAAACAUUCUGGUAUCAUCAACAGCGUUAUCGUCAAGUUCUGGUCUGAUACUCGUAUCUUGAGAUUUCCCAAAUAAAAGUCCAACAUACAUAAGUAGAAGCAAAAAUAUGCCCUUAGUUGAGAAUCACAUUCGCAAAGCAUAACCAUAGGACGCAGAUACAUACAUACAUAAAUACAUACUUAUAUUCGUAAAAGGCCUGCGAUGUCCAACCUCAGCCCACAGCACAACGGAUGAGCUUAUUGAGAACGUUGGCAAACAAUGUCACCGUGCGGUUAUCAAAGGAACCCAUCGGCAAGUUAGGCACUGGCAUAUACAUAUGUAUAAUUGACUGCAUUUGAAAUCUACAAGCAGAUUUGUUAUAGAUACAUACAUACGUAUACAUACUAUAUAUUUUGUAAAUUUAUUGUCAAUAACAAUUUAGUAAAACCGGAAUUUAGGAAUCUUCUUCGCUUUCAGCAGUAUCUAAAAUCUUAUUUUGAAUUAUUAAGAGCGUCCGAUUACAUACAUUUGUACAUACCUUCAUAUACACAUAGUAUGUACUUGUAUAAUUUGAUUUCCAAAUGACUGCUUGAAAGCAAUUCAUGAGGACACUAUAGGAAUACAUAUGUAAGUAUAUCCACAUUGCAUCAACGAGUUACCGCUUGACCAGCUGAUUCCUUCAAGCCCUUUCUCAUUUCAAAUAAUAUGUUAGUUGGCACAUACUCGUAUACACCACUGCAUCCCCAAAAUAAUUUCUUAAUCUCCAAAGAGAGUAGUCCCAAACGAGUAUUUUUGGAGUAGAAAUAACCUCAAUUCAUGAUAUCAUUAAUGUACAUACAUACAUAUGUACAUCUAUCCGAUAUUAUGAUCUUAGUAUCGGAGAUACUAGAAAUAAAUAGAAAGAAUUCGAAAUAUAUUUAUUAUGCCUACGUGAAUUUCAAUUAAUAGCUUUUACGUCCGUACCUCAUUUUGAUACGAUCUAAUUCUGCUCUCAACGUAUAACGAUUUUGUUCUCAUCGUAAAUCUUAACGAGACAGAUAUAUGUAUGUACAUACAUGUGUAUGUUAACCCUCGCCGACUUCAAAUAUAAUGGGUAGUUAACCUCAAACUGUACCUAUUUCCUAGCACUACUUCGUUUGUCAAAUUACUCUCAAAAUUAUGUUGGCCUUACAACUUCAAAACUGUUACAGAACUACUUAUCUAACUCUGUUUGUGGGGGAAUAUAAAUUUGAAUUUUGCUUAGGACCUCCAUGGUUUUAUCGCCAAAAUAUUGGCGGAACUUUGGGCUCCUUCUGAACCGUAUUUUCCAAAGCUCUACCAAAAUCUCAUCCUUCUUUGACUAGUUCCACUUUAGGCCGGGGAUUGGAAUUUUCAUGAAAUUUUGUUUUGUUCCACUGCUUGAUACACACCCAUAUGUAUGUAUGAAUGUACAUGCCUAAGUAUAUGUUUAUGCGCUGGAAGAUGUUGCAUAACUGCAUUAAACCGCUGCCACCGCUGCAGCGGCGAUGGGCUUUUACUGCUCAACAGCUAACGUUUGGCGCCGCCUUUGUGCUGAAUAUCUGCGCAGAAAUUGAUUUUCUGGCAACAACAGUGAAUUAUCAACUCACAGCGGACAGAAAUGGGCAGUUUGCCCGCUCAAAGUACAUAAGUAUGUAUGUAUACGUGUAUAUGUACUAGUAUAUCUGCACGUGUGCACACAUGUGAAUGCAUGUCGAGCCACUGUGAUUUCCAGCCGUCUGUAUUUGGCAAAGUUCAGUUCGGCUCUGGGGUCAGCGGCAUAUUGGCAGCGCUGUUGGCGCUUAUCUGAGAGCGAUUGCGAGUGUUUUUGGCGCAGUGACACAAAUUUGCGACAAUUCAUUGUAAGCAUAAAUUCUGCACAUUAGACAAAUUAAGCGAGGCGCCGCUUUGGUUGAAGCUACUCAAUAAAGUCGCUUAUGCAGACGUAAACAUGUUUAUGUACAUUUGUAUAUUUAUUAAUUUUUACAAGUGGACUUUCGUAUGAAGAUUUCUAAUUAUCGGUUCAAAUUAACGGGACCACGCUAUUUGUGACGAUGUAGUCGCGCUCUCAGUUUACUCUUCGAUAAUUCAUGUUGCAACUAUGAUAAGUUCUGAACGACCAUAUAGAACGCCACAAUGCUUGAGGCAAUGCGAACUGGGCCGAGUUCGUUCAGCACCUAGAUAGAUUUAGUUUUAUUUGCACGAGGUCUUCAUAUGAAUAUGUCAGAUAUACAUACUUGUAUGUAUUUGCAAGUGUAUUGCGUGAGCGUCCACACUUUUGUCUGGGUUUUAACGAAAACAAUGAUGUCAUAAUUGCUGAAAAUUUAAUUUGCGCGCCCCUGCCAUGUUGACGAGGUGAACGCAGUGAGGGCUGAUAUAUACACACAUACAUACAUUCAUCUACACAUUUCCACUCGGCAUUACACAUAUAACAUCUUUCUAUGUUUGUAUGUACAUAUGUACAUCUGUGAAAACAAAUAAUUCGAGCAUGCAAGUAAAUAGGUUGAUUGACAAUUACUUCAUUUUCUGCAAAGAAUGCAAAUUAAACGAACAAAAGCAACCCGUGGAAAAGUGCAUAAGCAGAAUUUCUACAAAAGACUCUAAACAUUUGGCGCUUCGCGUCGGCCAGCUCAGUUGCACUCUAAUACAUAUGUAUACAGAACGAGUUGGGUGCAUGCAUUGUCUUACAUACAUACGAACAUGCAUGCACAGCGAUUUUGCAAUCGGGCACGUUUCAGAACAACAACGAUAAGUGGAAUACGAACUGAUCGACAGAAGUCACCCGUUUAGCAUGCAACCCCGUUUUCAUUGAUACGUACAUACAUACAUAUGUACAUACAUACAUACAUAUGUUGUUUACGGUGAGCUUACCUUACUAUAAUUGCAAUACACUUUAAACAAGCAGAAAAUUAACAAACAUCGAAAGUGAGUGCAACAAAUGUGCCCAUUUAAGUAAAUAAAUAUGAGGAGUAUGAAUGUGCGCUCACUCCGUCAUUCCCACGAAUCGGAAUUGUCAUCAAUAUGAUGACUUGGAGGUAACUUAGGAGGAAGUACUCAACAUUUUUGGUGGAAGAGAAUGCUGAGAACGCAGCAAACACGUCGUCGAGAUGCUUGUCCAAGGAAUAGAGCAUCCUACAAGUUUUAGGCUUUCGCGAGCGCUUUCAGAAAACACUUUUUGAGAUUGGGGUGACCCGGCGAUCGAACCAAGGUCCUCUUCGGUCAACAAGCGCUUUUCCAACCAUUAAUCCACCGCGCGAAGCCACACAUGUCCCCUGCUUUUAGAAAAGUUAUUCCUAGCGGACUCUAGUAAUUUGCAUAAGUUAUGUGUAUUAUAUAUACAUACACACUUACAUACAUAUGUAUGUAUGUAAAUAUUGGCAAGCCCCUUUGAAUUUAUGUACGAUUAUGGUGUACAGUUUUGCAUUAGCAACUCACUUAAGACGGCAUAUAAGGUAAAAACCAAUUUCAUCAAUACGUGUUAGUGUGUGUGUGUACAGAUACAGCCGAUGUGCCACUAUUAUGUUUUGUGAGAUUGUUGUUUGUAUUGAACUAAAAAAUCACUGUGCAUAAAAGUUUCAUUUGAGCAUAUGAAGAUUCAAAAACCAGUUGAAAUCACAACUGAUCGUUGCGGUCAGACAGACAAACCUCCAGAUAUUGAACAAGCUCUUCGUUUGCUUUAUAAUAGACCAAACUUCACACAUUGCUCACAUUUGAAUGCAUAGGCACAUUCCAAAUAAUCAAAGUAUCGCAUCAAUGCAAAGUCUUUAAAAUGUUCCUUUCCAUUUAUAUGUAAAUAUGUAGGUAAUAUCUCUAGUACCUUGAUCAUCAAUUUAAGGCAUACAUGCUUAUGGGCCCACAACAACAGCAACCAGCAACACUGUCCAAACUACAAGCAUUUCAUGAAACAUCUCACCAGACUGGUUGCUCACUUUUAGCGGAGCCUACUGUAUGCUUAAGGGCAGCACAACUUAAGAGUGUUACCAAAAGCUGUUGAACGAAUUGCGCAUUUGUACGGUCUCCCAAAAUGCUACAUGAAACUGCGGCGAUUUCAAAAGUUUUACUUUACGGCGCGUACAUCAAGUACAUGUGACUUUUCAGCGGGAACCAUAACGCUACUCUUAGAUUCUUGCAACACCUAACCGCAUCAGUUACCACAAAGCUUUCACUGCUAUUGGCCCCGUAAAUUCUAAAAGAUUUCGUUGCAAAGAUUUUAUGUCUUGAAAAGUUGUUGGUCCAAUCAUUUGAAUUAAUAAAUUAAAUACUCUUAGGAUUUAUAAAUUAGUAUAUUUAUGGAAAACUAUGGAAAACUGACAGAUAUUUACUGAUUGCUUGCAGAUGGCUUACAGGUCUUCGUUAGAUUUCAGAUAUUGUAAUGGAAUAUAGCACCUUUAUGUACAUAGAUAAGUAAGAUUAUUUAGAGUAUUUUUCGUAAUGUUUUGCCAUAUACGCUGUUUGGCAAAGCAGUGCUUAGCUAAUGUGAUUUGUGGACGUGAAAAUUGUCCCAUUCCGCCCAACAGCAUUACUGGUCUUCUCUGAAUACCAAAUGACACUUGUACGAAGUUUCAUGUCAUGGUCGGCAAGAUGAAAUAACACCUGUCAUCAAACAAACAGUCGUCGCAUUCGCGACUUGCCUCCCAGCUCUGAGAGUAUUCGACGCAAUACCCGCCGGGGGAAGAAGAGGAAGAGGAAGACUUUCACUCCGUUAGAAAGACCAGGAAAAGAAGCACCUGACUUCAUUUGGAAUCUCCAAUUGGCGCCAAAUAGUGAAAAGGAAGAAGGACUGGCGCACUGCUGUAAACUCGGCUAUAACCGCGUAAUUAGCGUCUACGCCAAUAAAGAUGAAGAUAUACAAUUUCAGGGUGACCUUUCACAACUACUUCAAAAUGGGAAAAAAACUUAGUCGUACAAACCAACGACUCAAGAGCAGCAGUUUCGGUCGUCCGAUAAGUCUACAGAUGUUGAAAUGAAUGAUGAUGAUUCGAAGGGGCGCAAAAUGGCGCAGAAAUAGCUAACGAAAAACGGUGGGAUAUUGGAAACAAUAACAACACAUUCAAGCCAACAGGGCAUACGCCAAGCCGGAUUACAUAUUAAACAAAUAAAUACAGACAUAUGUACAUAUGCAUGUAUGUAUAUAGUAUAUUAUAUGGCAUAUAAGAAACAUUUCUCAAGUACUUAACACUGGAGCUAAGUGAGAUGAAAUUUUGAACAUUUUUUACUAACUCAACGAGCACAGUGCCUUCGUAUGCUUGUUCAUAUGACUGCAAAUAUAUCUUGAAGGUUUAGAGAGCACUUAGCACUUCGUUUUAUACCUUUAAAAAAGUAAUUGUUUCUAUUUAUUAUUUUUUAUUCUUCUUUUCCGUUUUCUGCGUUUCUUAUCUGACCUUAGAAAGCUUGCUUGAAUACGCUUUUAAUAAGCAGUGAGCACGAGUGUGGUAUGUACAUACAUACAUAUUAUGUACAUAUGCAUGUACAUUUGUAUUAUACCAAAAACAAAAAUAAAAACAAAGCAAAACAAUACCUCACUCAAUGAGAUACCUAGCUGAAGUUACGUGUUGGUUUCCAGAGCAUCAAUUAUUUAUCUGAAUACGUUUAUGUGCUUGCGUAGAUAUGUAUAUACAUACAUAUGAACAACUUGUUCAUCUUUUGGUACAAAUGUAAAAAGCUUUAGAUCUUAUAAUUGAUCUCACAUUGCUCAAUUUAUUUGAAGGGGUCAAUAACAACAACAAUUCAUAAAUACUGUAUUUUAUAUUCGUGAAUUCCAUGAGAGCGAUUCUGGGCUGUGUGCAUGCAUACAUAUGUUCUUUGUAUACAUGCAUGGGGGCCGUAUGUUUCCUGAACAGUUAAUAGUGUGGAAUGUGAAACAUUUUAAUUUGCUCGUAUGCCUUUGUAAGUGCGCAAAAGACACAUUCCUCGCUCCAGACCUCGAAACCUAAUUGCAAUACAAUUUACACACAUGUGGGUGUUCAUUUGUAUUCAAGGUAAUGCAAACACCCUCCAGGAAUGGGCAGGCAUUAAGUCUCGCAAAUUCUUUUGCAUGGUUUUACAAUUUUGCCAAAUAAAUCGAAAAUUGUAAAUAAAACGCAAAAUAUUUAAUUGUUCAUCAAUAUUUCUUUUGUCGCCUUCAAAGUAAUUCCCACCAGAUGUAAUACACGUAUGCCAACAAAUUUUCCGAUUCUCGAAAUACUUUUCAUAAGCACUUUUGGAAUGUCCUUCAGCUCCUUCAUCGAACUUUGUUUUAUCUCUUCGAUCGACUGAAAACGAACUCCAUUCCGAUAAUUGUUGACGGUUUUGCAUUUAAACUCAGAAGCCCAUGUCUCAUCUUCAGUUAUAAUGCUCUCCAUGAAAGAGGGAUCGGUAUUUUGCACUAUCAAGCAUGUCCGAAGAGACCUGUCUACGGUACUCUUUUUGAAAAAAAACUUCAGCUUUAUAGGGACGAGGCGGGCAAGAAUGCUUUGCAUACCCAAAAUAUUCACCAAAAUCACUUGGACUAACUUCGAACAUUCUAGCCAUAUCUCUAAUACUUGCCCGAUGAUUUUCAAGCAACAUUCCUUACUUUUUUAAUAUUCUCAUCAGUUGAAGAGGUGGAAGGUCGUCCAGAACGAGGCAUAUCGUCAACGAUCUCUCGACCGUCUUUGAAGGCUUUGUAUCACUCGUAGGCUGUAGGUGUACCGACUUAAGCAGCUUUUGUUAACAAUCUGGUUGACAACUUAGCAAAAUACACGUUUUUGAAAAAUCAUUUACCCGGGGAGUUUAAUUACAAUUUUCGGGUCCCUUUUUGUCACAAUUAUAUUUGUAGGUUUUCUUUUCGAAACAUUUAGUUUGUACUAUCAAAUUUCAAUUUCCAACUAUUAAAAACUAUAAACAGAGGAGUUUCUUGCUAGGUCCAAUUGGACUAUCCUUACCUGCGUACGCAUUUGCACCGCACCAAUACGUCAACGUUAAUUCACUUAUUUUGGCUGCAAUGUAUGUAUGGUAUGGUAUAGUGGUAUAUGUACAUAAGUAUAUGCCUGCAAUGUAUAGAGUAGUGGUAUUACAACUAGAGACGACAUCAUCACUUUUAUAUGAAUAUACAUAAGUACAUAUGUAUGUACAUAUGUACGUAUAAAAAAUUAAUUUAUCGCAUUAAAACAGAUACUAGGAUAUAAUAGUUAAACAAAUUAUUAUUGCAGUAAAAUACACAAAAUAUGUACAUACAUAUGUACAAAAUGGAUAUGUAUAUACAUAUGUAACGGGUGAUUUUUUUGA